rnacentral:rRNA from 1 species
CCUACGGGUGGCUGCAGUGAGGAAUAUUGGUCAAUGGGCGCGAGCCUGAACCAGCCAAGCAGCGUGAAGGAUGACUGCCCUACGGGUUGUAACCUUCUUUUAUAGAGGAAUGAAGUGAGGCAUGCGUGCCUUUUUAUAUGUACCUUACUACUAAGCAUCGGCUAAAUCCGUGCCAGCAGCCCCGGUAAUAUGGAGGAUCAGAGCGUUAUCCGGAUUUAUUGGGUUUAAAGGGAGCGUAGAUGGGUUGUUAAGUCAGUUGUGAAAGUUUGCGGAUCAACCGUAAAAUUGCAAUUGAUACUGGCGGCCGUGAGUACAGGUGAGGUAGGCGGAAUUCGUGGUGUAGCGGUGAAAUGCGUAGAUAUCACGAAGAACUCCGAUUGCGAAGGCAGCCUACUAAACUGCCACUGACAUUGAUGCUCGAAAGUGUGGGUAUCAAACAGGAUUAGAUACCCUGGUAGUC